CUAAUGAUUAUAUAACAACAAUGCAUCUUGCUCAAUAACCUCAGGUACGCAGAUGACACCACUGUUAUGGCAUAAAACGAAGAAGAAAUAAAGACCUCUUGAUGAAAUGGGAGAGUGAAAAAGUUGGCUUAAAACUCAACGUUCAGAAAACUAAGAUCAGGGCAUCUGGUCCCAUCACUUCAUGGCAAAUAGAUGGGGAAGCAAUGAAAACAGCAAGAGACUUUAUUUUGGGGGCUCCAAAAUCACUGCAGAUGGUGAUUGCAGCCAUGAAAUUAAAAAAGACGCUUACUCCUUGGAAGAAAAUAUGACCAACCUAGACAGCAUAUUAAAAAGCAGAGACAUUACUUUGCCAACAAAGGUCUGUCUAGUCAAGGCUAUGGACUAUAAAGAAAGCUGAGCACCAAAGAAAUGAUGCUUUUGAAUUGUAGUGUUGGAGAAGAUUCUUGAGAGUCCCUUGGACUGCAAGGAGAUCCAACCAGCCCUAAAGGCAAUCAGCCCUGAAUGUUCAUUGGAAGGACUAAUGUUGAAGCUGAAACUCCGAUACUUUGGGCCCCUGAUGCAAAGUGCUGACUCAUUGCAAAAGGCCCUGAUGCUGGGAAAGUUUGAAGGCAAGAGGAGAAGGGGACGACAGAGAAUGAGAUGGUUGGAUGGUAUCACCGACUCAAUGGACAUGAAUUUGAGUCAACUCCAGGAGCUGUGAUGGACAGGGAGGCCUGGCGUGCUGCAGUCCCUGGAGUUGCAAAGACUCAGACACGACUGAGCAACUGAACUGAACUGACAAAAUAUGAAUUUUACACCUUACACUUUUAUCCCUCUCACAAGUUGAGUGGGCAUUCUCUCCUCAAUAUGAAAGACACUUAGCAUAUCCAAAGUGUUUCUGCUAUUUCCUGGAAUUUCUGGUUUCAAACUAGGUAAAGAUGCAAACAAUUAACCAUUUUAUUCUUUUAGGCAACUCCAAAUCCAUGGCAUGGGAGAAUAGACUUAAUGGCUUAUGCUAAAAUGCUAUCAUGUUUCUGACUCUAAAAAUCGCUCAUAUGAAUUUGCUUUCCAAUAUUUGAUGCUAUAUUCACGUUUACUGUUCUCUAAUCUUUCUUAUUCUUUGCUCUUUUCCCCCCGGAAUCCACUUAAGUAGCAGAAAUAGUCCCUUUUUAUUUUCUGGCUUUCAGGUCAUAUUCUAUGAGCAAGUUGAAUACAUAUAAAUCACUAGGCUAGCAUUGUGAAUAUAGUGAAAUAUUUCUUCCAGAAGGCAGAUUUUAAUUAUGAUUCUAUUUAAAGGCUAUCAGUAACAUGGUAAAAUUUAUAUUCACUAUUCUUCUCUAAAAUAGUAGGGACUUAUAAUUUUUUUUCUUAAAUCUGUUUUAUUAUUUCCUUUGAAAGAUGUGUUAAAAAUAUUCAAAUGCUACUGAUAACUCCUACCCAAAAUAAUUAUAUUACUUUGUUGAAAAUUACUAUUACUAUUUAAUCCACAGUUGAUGAGUUACUAUGAUUAUGACUGAAUCUCUCUCUCUUUUUUUUAAUGUAUAACUUCCACUCACCAGGAACACAAGAACAAGCAGUGCCAUAUGCACUCUCUGAGACAGACUUAUCAAGCAUUGAAUCAAAAUUUCCCCUUCUCCUUCUAAAUUAACUGAAUUGAAUAGAACCAGAGAUCAGAAAUAAUAGAUUUAAACUAAAGCUAAAAUGUCACAGUUUCU
ensembl:lincRNA